rnacentral:rRNA from 1 species
CCUACGGGAGGCAGCAGUGGGGAAUAUUGGACAAUGGGGGGAACCCUGAUCCAGCGACGCCGCGUGAGUGAAGAAGUAUUUCGGUAUGUAAAGCUCUAUCAGCAGGGAAGAAAAUGACGGUACCUGACUACGACGCCCCGGCUAACUACGUGCCAGCAGCCGCGGUCAUACGUAGGGGGCAAGCGUUAUCCGGAUUUACUGGGUGUAAAGGGAGCGUAGACGGUGCAGCAAGUCUGAUGUGAAAGGUCGGGGCCCAACCCCGGGACUGCAUUGGAAACUGUUGAACUGGAGUACAGGAGAGGUAAGCGGAAUUCCUAGUGUAGCGGUGAAAUGCGUAGAUAUUAGGAGGAACACCAGUGGCGAAGGCGGCUGACUGGACGGUAACUGACGUUGAGGCUCGAAAGCGUGGGGAGCAAACAGGAUUAGAUACCCGGUAGUC